GUCAGGUCUAAGCUAGAGCUGAAUCAGCUGCAGGUAGGAGAUAAAAGGCACAAUCCAUACCCCACUGAAGUGAAUUGAAUGCUUCCCAGCAGAUCUAAGGCUUUAAUAUUUGCCAAAAGAUUUUGAUUGUGUGUGGUAAGAUUUUUUUAUUUUUAUUUUUAAUUUCAGUAAUUAUUAGAAACAUCAUUCAUUUACAUAUGUUUAUAAAAGAAGAAAUGUGUUGUGGAAGUCACUGUGUUGAUGCCAGAUCUUGGUGCCUAAGCCCUGGGUGUUUUGGAGAGUCCAAAAGCGCCUGUUACCUUGUGAGGCUGUGCUCAUCAAUACUUGUCACUUCCUCUGCGCCCUGCAGCCCAGCCAAGCCCUGUGGAUUUGAACCAGAUUAUAUCAUCUUACUUACACUGUGAGACAAGAAUAAUUAUUGAAAAUUAAGAGCUCUACAGAUACCUGUACUUGUAAUGUUGAAUGUAGCUGAAUAUGUGGUCCAGCUUAUGUAAAACUGACCAGGGCUGUCAUCAAACAGAUCUCUUCAGAUGACCUGAAUUGAGGUAUUCAUUAUAUGAGUGGAAUUACCACUUUAAAC
rnacentral:lncRNA from 1 species